rnacentral:rRNA from 1 species
CGAAAGCCUGACGGAGCAAUACCGCGUGAGGGAGGAAUGUCUUUGGAUUGUAAACCUCUUUUCUCAAGGAAGAAGUUCUGACGGUACUUGAGGAAUAAGCACCGGCUAACUCCGUGCCAGCAGCCGCGGUAAUACGGAGGGUGCAAGCGUUAUCCGGAAUUAUUGGGCGUAAAGAGUCCGUAGGUGGUCAUGCAAGUCUGCUGUCAAAGCCCACAGCUCAACUGUGGAUCGGCGGUGGAAACUGCAUGACUUGAGUACGGUAGGGGUAGAGGGAAUUCCCAGUGUAGCGGUGAAAUGCGUAGAUAUUGGGAAGAACACCGGUGGCGAAAGCGCUCUACUGGACCGUAACUGACACUGAGGGACGAAAGCCAAGGUAGCG